UUUCCAGACUUAUGUUUAAAAGCAAGUGCAAAUCUAUGGAAUCUUAUCCAUGCUAUCAAGAUGAAGAAACUAAGAUUGCUUUUGCUGACUAUACUGUGACUUACACAGACCAGCCUCCAAAUACUUGGUUUAUAGUUUUCAGAGAAACAUUUUUGGUUCCUCAAGAUAUGAUUUUGGUUCCCAAAGUAUAUACUACACUUCCAGUCUGUAUGCUCCACAUUGUUAACAACGACACAA